rnacentral:rRNA from 1 species
AUACGGAGGAUCCAAGCGUUAUCCGGAAUCAUUGGGUUUAAAGGGUCCGUAGGCGGGUUUGUAAGUCAGUGGUGAAAGUUUUCGGCUCAACCGGAAAAUUGCCAUUGAUACUGCAGGUCUUGAAUUAUUGGGAAGUGAUUAGAAUGUGUAGUGUAGCGGUGAAAUGCAUAGAUAUUACACAGAAUACCGAUUGCGAAGGCAGAUCACUAACAAUAUAUUGACGCUAAGGGACGAAAGCGUGGGUAGCGAACAGGAUUAGAAACCCUAGUAGUCC